rnacentral:rRNA from 1 species
GGCGGACGGGUGAGUAAUGCAUCGGGACCUACCCAGACGUGGGGGAUAACGUAGGGAAACUUACGCUAAUACCGCAUACGUCCUACGGGAGAAAGCAGGGGGACCUUCGGGCCUUGCGCGGUUAGACGGACCGAUGUUCGAUUAGCUUGUUGGUGAGGUAAUGGCUCACCAAGGCGACGAUCGAUAGCUGGUCUGAGAGGAUGAUCAGCCACACUGGAACUGAGACACGGUCCAGACUCCUACGGGAGGCAGCAGUGGGGAAUAUUGGACAAUGGGCGCAAGCCUGAUCCAGCAAUGCCGCGUGUGUGAAGAAGGCCUU